rnacentral:rRNA from 1 species
CACGUAGUUAGCCGUGGCUUUCUGAUUGGGUACCGUCAAGAUGUGCACAGUUACUUACACAUUUGUUCUUCCCUAAUAACAGAGUUUUACGAGCCGAAACCCUUCAUCACUCACGCGGCGUUGCUCCGUCAGGCUUUCGCCCAUUGCGGAAGAUUCCCUACUGCUGCCUCCCGUAGGAGUCUGGACCGUGUCUCAGUUCCAGUGUGGCCGAUCACCCUCUCAGGUCGGCUACGUAUCGUCGCCUUGGUAAGCCGUUACCUUACCAACUAGCUAAUACGGCGCGGGUCCAUCUAUAAGUGAUAGCAAAACCAUCUUUCACUUUAGAACCAUGCGGUUCUAAAUGUUAUCCGGUAUUAGCUCCGGUUUCCCGAAGUUAUCCCAGUCUUAUAGGUAGGUUACCCACGUGUUACUCACCCGUCCGCCGCUAACUUCAAAGGAGCAAGCUCCUUAUCUGUUCGCUCGACUUGCAUGUAUUAGGCACGCCGCCAGCGUUCAUCCUGAGCCAGGAUCAAACUCU